rnacentral:rRNA from 1 species
AUUGAACGCUGGCGGCAUGCCUUACGCAUGCAAGUCGAACGGCAUCGCGGGAAAGCUUGCUUUCCUGGCGGCGAGUGGCGAACGGGUGAGUAACACAUCGGAACGUACCGGCUAGUGGGGGAUAACCCGUCGAAAGACGGGCUAAUACCGCAUACGCUCUUCGGAGGAAAGCAGGGGACCUUUGGGCCUUGCGCUAGCCGAGCGGCCGAUGUCCGAUUAGCUAGUUGGUGGGGUAAAGGCCUACCAAGGCGACGAUCGGUAGCGGGUCUGAGAGGACGAUCCGCCACACUGGGACUGAGACACGGCCCAGACUCCUACGGGAGGCAGCAGUGGGGAAUCUUGGACAAUGGGGGCAACCCUGAUCCAGCAAUGCCGCGUGGGUGAAGAAGGCCUUCGGGUUGUAAAGCCCUUUCGGCAGGGAAGAAAUCGGCGGGGCGAAUAACCCUGCUGGAUGACGGUACCUGCAGAAGAAGCACCGGCUAACUACGUG